GUAAUUCCAAACGUUGGUAGAACUUUCCCUAUUCCCCUGCCCAAAUAUCUGUGAUAAGCAGUUUCUAUGGACCCUGUGUAUAAUUGAACAGUGAAGACACCCUGUAAUACACUCAUCUGAACUGAACCCCAUGAAGAAAUCCAUUAAGAUUCAGAUGGAGACUAUUCCUGUUCAGUUGUUUGUCUUUAAAUAAUCUAUCCUGAUUUAUAGCAUAUAACAUAACUUAUACCAAAGUAAGUGGUAGUGUAGACAAGGGCUAAGGGUAUGUCUCCACUGCAAUGGGGGGUGUGGUUAAAGCUCAGGUAGGCAUAGCCACGCAACCUUUAAUCUAGCUACCACAGCUUGAAGCUGUUUCCAUCCUAUACAGGGUUUAGAGUUUGGUUCAAUGGCUCUCGGCACCCCCACUAUACAAAUUGUUCCAGUGUCCCUGAGUGUAGAGUUGAUUGGUCAUGAAUUUUCACUUCCCUCCCUCAUUGUUUCAGUUUAGUAACUUUUUUUCCUCCCCUUUCUUUGUUGAAAUCUGAAAAAUGCUGGCCACUCUUAUUAGUGGGGAAAACUUUCCAGAGAGGCCUGGACCUCCAGCUUGCCACUGCUGACGAGUCGAGCUGGUUGGUAAAUGGGUUGGUAUUUUUCUGUGGAGAAUUUCGACUUUUCACUGAAAAUCAAAAAAAUCUUGGGCUGAAAACUGCCAGAGGCUGAAACAAUGUUGUGGUUUUGGCCAAAAAGUUUUAGAGCGUGGAUGAAAAUUUUGGAGGCAAGUAGACAUUUUCAGUGAACAUUUUCAUUCCAUUGAGGAAAAGUGUGAUGGAAACUUUUUAACCAAUCCUACUGAAGAGCCCAGUUGUCAGCAAACAAUUGCAAAGAGAAAAAUUCCAUUGCUAUAAUGAGUGAAGCAAAAUUCCUCUGAGAAACACAAAUGCACCAGCUGGUACAAGUUGGGGGGGGGGUGUUCCACACCCCAACUUGUACCAGCAGGUGCACACACACACACACACACACACCCUGCACCAGUGGAAGUGAGUGAGUGUUUUGGACCCUUACCGCAAUAUUUUUUUUAAAAUAAACAUGAUUAGGGACUUCACUGAAAGACCAAGCACAAGGAAAAGCUCAUUCAAAUACAAACUUCUGAGGAAAAAUAACCAAACUGGGAAGAGACUACAGAAAAUGACUGGCCAAGAGAGGAGCCCACACAGAGGACAGAACCCACCUGCAAAGUGGCUGGCAGACUGGAGCAACUGCAGCUGCAGAGAAUGAGGAGAUUAGCUGCUAAAAAAUAUAAAGCCUUAGAGGGAGCAACAGGCUAUCAGCAGCACACAUUCAAAGUGGAGGAAUGGAAUCCCCCAGACAAAGCUUUGUGGAGAAGAUGGGUGCCUAAAGUUUCUGUUGCUAAGAUUCUGAACAGUACCAUGUAUGGAAACUUUAUUCUCUUCUCCAGUACAUACUGAUCGAAGAUGCAAGGACCUGACAACUGUGGAGCCUUGUACACAAGUGACCUGCUGCAUUGAUCCCUUAGUGCCUGUAAAGCACGUUGAGAUGCUACAUAACUGCAGACUAUCACCGCCAGAUUACAAAAUUCACUCUGAAAAUACCUGUGGGCAACUUUUGGUACCUCACUAUUAAUCAAUAGCAUAAUGGGCCAGUUAGACCAAUUGCUGCUGUCAUGCUGGUCGCUUGAAAGUUUGCAGCUAGAUUUAGAUGCUUGCUGUCGUGUGUAUAGCAUGGGGCUUUUGUUUUUGAAACCUAUUAUGCAAUACAAACAUGAACUAACUGUUUCCCCACCCCUUGUAUUUUCCUCCCUACCACCUAUAGAAUAUUAUAGCUUGCAGGCUAAGGAAUAUGCCAUAGCUGCUACUCACGUCAAAUAAAUCUUUGCACAAAAUAAACCUGCAACUGAAUUGUUCUGUCGAUGGACUUCAUUAAUCAUGUGUCAUAAUUUGUAGUAUAAGGCAGAGCAAUGAGAUGAAACAUUGUUCUUGUGUUGUCAGGAGUCACUUUUCUUAUCAUAAUCUCCUGCUAUCAGGUAUUGAAAGCCUGAAUGUUAUGCUGAACCUGUGUUCUUCAGCCCAUUGGGGGGGGGGGGCCUCAAUUUUUACCAUCCCCAGAACUUCUCUUACAGCUGAAUUUCAGUGGACUAAAGAGGCAGCAUGUGUGCUAGGGCUGCAUUUAUAUUUAUUUUGAGAUGAACUCUUAUCCAACAAUGGGGAGGCGGGGGGUGGGAAACACAGAUAUACUGUAAAGGAUUCAUGGAGACUUGAAAGUACUUUUUUUUUUCCCCCCUAAUCACUUAGAUAACAGAUAUGAUUUCUAAUUUAACAUGGUGGUCUGCAAAAGAACCUACAGCCCACCUCCCCUGAAAGAAACCUCUCUUUCAGUUCUUAAUUCUGAGAUGUUACACUAAAAAUGUUAGGAAGCUUAAAUAAUGGAAACUGGAAAAAAAACAACUUGGAUGACAUGCCCCAAAGCAUGUUAAUUUCUUUCUGGAGGACAGCGACCUCAAUGUUUAUGCAAAAGGAUCAUUCCAAACAGCUGUAAGCUUUUGGCUGAAAUAUUCAGCUUCUUCAAAUUAUUUAUUUAAACUUUUCCCUCCAGCUUUCUCUUCCUCCUCUCUGUUGAAUGCAGCACAUCAUUCUUUUAGCUAUGUCUAACAGAAGCUGCACAUACAUUGUCCAAACUACUCUGACUUAAAGGUUGACGUUGUCCUAUACAAUUUUAUCCUGCAUCUACUCUCCUAUAUGCAUCUGAGUUUUGAGAACUUCAGCUAAGGAGUGAAAUCAAAACUUAUGAACUGAUGUCUUAACUUCCUACAAAACCUACUUUAGAGCAGAUUCUGCUUUCUGAGAUCAUCACGUAGGGGCGAGGAAUGUUAGAUGUCAAGUGAAGAGUAAAAUGCAAAGUUUUCACACUAUACAGAGUUAAAGUGAUCUCUCAAAACUGGGAGAGAAUGGACAACAAAAUGGCAGAUGAAAUUUGGAUAUUAUGUGCUAAGUAAUGCACACUGGAAAAAAAAAUCCCAGCUACACAUAUAUGGUGAGGGAUUCUAAAUUAGCUGUUACCACCCAAAAACAAUCUUCAGAGAACUUUUGAACAUGAGGCCAAAUCUUCUGCUCAAGAUGCAGCGGCAGUCAAAAAAGGUUAACACUAUGUUAGGAACAGGAUAGAAAAAUAUCAUGUCACUAUAUAAAUCCAUGGUGCACCCACACCUUGAAUAUUGUGUCCAGCUCUAGGUACCUCUUCUCAACAAGAUACCUGUACAGUGGGACUGGAAAAAGUUCACAGAAGGGAAACAAUGGUUUGGAAAUAGUUCCAUACAAGGAGGGACUAGCAUUGCUUCUUCAGGAGUUAUACCGUUGCAUCAACUGGUGCUGCCUGGUGCAGUGUUAACUGAGACUGGCGGUCUGACCAGCUAUUCAGGGGGGAGCAGCAGUUAAACUCCCACUUCACACCUCAAUUUCACAUUUGGAGCUUUGGCAAGGGGUGCAGAAAGGAGAAAAGCCAGUCAGAGCUGGAAGCUAAAUUUGACACUUCUCUUCACAUUAGAAAAGGGGGGAAAUAGGACUCUAAAGGAUAAACUAACUUUGGUCUUAAAUGCAAAUUAGGAAUUUAUGUUUCAGCUAUUGUUCAUAAGCACGGAGCUAGAUGUCCAGUUCAAACUAACUCAUGAAAUCAAACGUUCUUUGAUUAGAUAAUCCCCAAUUACUUCAAUUUGUGUUAUCUGCAUAGUGAAUAAAGCAACUUCUACAGCCAAAUGCUGAUUUCCAGUGUGCAACUGCUCUUGUUUUGUAGAGAUGGAAAUUUUUUUUUGGCCACACAAACUAAUUUAGAAGUGUCCACGCAAGGUAGCUGUAUUGACUGUUAGAUUAGUGCAAUUCCUGGGUACAAUUCAGAAGUCAGUCUGAAGCAUUUCAAAUUAAUUUAUUUUCAUUUAAGACUUAGUUAAGUUUCCUCAGGCUAUGCUAACUGCAUUUUAAAAACCUCUUCAACAUGGUUAGGACACAUGACAACAUUAAAACCAAAAAUAUCCUUUAUUUCAC